ensembl:lncRNA
GCGGCCUCUCCCACGUGGAAGGCAGCGACGACUGGGGUGAUGAGUUAGGAGGACUGGGUGUUAUACCCUUCAGUCAUUCCCUCAUCCCUCUCAGAGACUCUCGUCCACUCGUCCUCACCGAUCUGGACAUGUGGGACAGCAGGUCUCACUUUAAAUCUCAGCACCUCCGCUAAUGGCAGAGACAGUGGCUUCAGCAGACAGAGUGACCCAGGGCUGGGUAAAAGAAGAUGGCAGUCGAUGUCUCGCCUGGCCCCCGAGGGCGCACCCCGGUCCCUCUCCCCUGUCUCCCCAGGGGUUGAGCUGAGAGCAGCCCUGGAAGAGAGUGGCUUUAGGCGAGCAGAGCUGGUGCAGAGGCUGCGGGAGGCCCAUGGACGUCUGGACAGCCAGACAGACCUGCUGAAGAACAGAGACGCACAGCCGCAGCACAGCAGUAGUACUGCACAGCUGCUGGAGACGAAACACAAGCAGCUGGCAGAUGCAGUGAGUGCUCUUGAGCAGGAGAAGGAGGCAGCUGAGUUGAGCCGGUUUGAGGAAAGUCGACGUCGAGGAGAACUGCAAGACAAGGUUCUUCGACUGGAGAUGGACAUGUUGAAGAUGAGGUCAAACCUGAGUGUUAUCAAACCUGCGGCCCCAAGAACUAACAACAACCCACUCAGCAGGACCUCACCUGUUACACAACAAGACUUGUUCAGAGAGGAAAAGCACAGAGCAGAGAGAGAGCUGUCCAGACUGAGAGAGGCCCUCAGAGAGGCCGAGGAGAGAGCAGAGGCCCUGGAGACAGAGAGAGACCUUCAGCAACUACACACCUCUAAAGAGGCUCAGAGGACUGUGUUGAACCAGACAGAGGAAGUGAACCAGAGACUGGGUCGGGCCUUGCAGACCCACAGUGAGCUGAAGGACCAGCUGAGUGAGGCACGCAGUAAGCUGGGUCAGGCCACUCUGGAGAGGGACCUUCUGACCUCCAAGGUGUUGCGGCUGGAGGACAGUGUGGAGGACCUGAAGAUCAAGCUGACCGGGGCCAUGUCUGACAAGGACCGCUUACUGCAGGAGAAGGCAGACCUGCACCAGCAUGCUCAGGAUCUGGAGCUGCAGUUGGAGAGGGCCCAGAGAGGCAGGGAAGGCUACACAGACCAGGUGUGUGAGCUCAGCAACCAGCUGGCUGAGGCCAAGGCUCACACCAACAGGCAGGGGCAGGAGACUGUGCAGAUGAAACAGGAACUUCUGACUGUGACAGAGAUGAAUGAAAAGAUGACAUCAGAGCUAGAGAUGGUCAGACAGAGGCUGGAGUCCUCAUUGGCUCAGCUGCAUGAGCUGGGGGCGGAGAGAGUCAUCCACACCAAUCAGAUCGCAGCUCUGGAGACGGAGCGCUCGCAGCUGAUUGGAGAGAAGCAGGAGUUGACGAGUGCUAUUGGACGGGAUGGAAGACAGGAGGAGGAAGUGACAGAGUUGAGGGAGAAUUGUUGUCAGCUCAGUGAAUCCCAGGAUGCCUUGGAGUCAGAGAACCAGAGGCUGCAUGAAUGCUGCCUGACCUUGGAGGCAGAGCUCCUGGAAAAGGAGGAGGGGCUGUGUCAGAAGGGGGAGGAGCUGCAGAGGUUGGAGGCUGAGUCGGCUCAGA